CCUACGGGUGGCAGCAGUGGGGAAUAUUGGACAAUGGGGGGAACCCUGAUCCAGCGACGCCGCGUGAGUGAAGAAGUAUUUCGGUAUGUAAAGCUCUAUCAGCAGGGAAGAAAGGAAUGACGGUACCUGACUAAUAAGCCCCGGCUAACUACGUGCCCGCAGCCGCGGUAAUACGUAGGGGGCAAGCGUUAUCCGGAUUUACUGGGUGUAAGGGGAGCGUAGACGGUUACGCAAGUCUGGAGUGAAAGGCGGGGGCCCAACCCCCGGACUGCUUUGGAAACUGUAGAACUGGAGUGCAGGAGAGGUAAGUGGAAUUCCUAGUGUAGCGGUGAAAUGCGUAGAUAUUAGGAGGAACACCAGUGGCGAAGGCGGCUUACUGGACUGUAACUGACGUUGAGGCUCGAAAGCGUGGGGAGCAAACAGGAUUAGAUACCCCAGUAGUC
rnacentral:rRNA from 1 species